CUUAGUAUAAAUACGUGUUACUCUACUUCCAUUGGUAUCAUUUUAAUUCGAUCCUUCGAGUCAAAACAAUCAACAACAAGUCAAAAUGCAAAUCAUCAAAAUUGGUCUACUUGUCGCAGCUGCUGUGUUCGCUGUUUUGGGAGGUGUUGAAGCGGAGCCGAUUCGCGAUAUUAACGGUACCGUGACAGGCAGUGUUUAUGAUAAUUCACAGGGUUAAAGAUGGACAGAUAGCUUUGAUAAGUUUUACAAUUCUGCAUAAAUAGAUCGAUUAAAAAAUUUGUCGCCACUAAA